rnacentral:lncRNA from 1 species
UACUCAGUGCAGAAUAGCGAUCAAGUAGUCCCAAACUGUGAGAGGCAGAUGAAUCGAUUCAAAUUUAUUAACCAUCCAUGGCGAACCUAAUCUCACGACAUCCGCGCACCACGAAGGGUCGCUUCAUUUGUCAGCCGUCCCCAUCGAUCCCUUAGGCACGUGUCAGGGCCAACUGCCUUUGGCAUGCAAUGCUUCAUAAUCCCAGCCUCUGCCGUACUAUGACCGCACUUGCACCCACAUGAUGCACCAUGG